rnacentral:rRNA from 1 species
UACGGAAGGUCCAGGCGUUAUCCGGAUUUAUUGGGUUUAAAGGGAGCGUAGGCCGUCUGUUAAGCGUGUUGUGAAAUGUAGAUGCUCAACAUCUGAAUUGCAGCGCGAACUGGCAGACUUGAGUGUGCGCAACGUAGGCGGAAUUCGUGGUGUAGCGGUGAAAUGCUUAGAUAUCACGAAGAACUCCGAUUGCGAAGGCAGCUUACGGGAGCACAACUGACGCUGAAGCUCGAAAGUGCGGGUAUCGAACA